rnacentral:rRNA from 1 species
CCUACGGGAGGCAGCAGUGAGGAAUAUUGGUCAAUGGACGAGAGUCUGAACCAGCCAAGUAGCGUGAAGGAUGACUGCCCUAUGGGUUGUAAACUUCUUUUAUAUGGGAAUAAAAUGUUCCACGUGUGGGAGUUUGUAUGUACCAUAUGAAUAAGGAUCGGCUAACUCCGUGCCAGCAGCCGCGGUAAUACGGAGGAUCCGAGCGUUAUCCGGAUUUAUUGGGUUUAAAGGGAGCGUAGGUGGAUUGUUAAGUCAGUUGUGAAAGUUUGCGGCUCAACCGUAAAAUUGCAGUUGAAACUGGCAGUCUUGAGUACAGUAGAGGUGGGCGGAAUUCGUGGUGGAGCGGUGAAAUGCUUAGAUAUCACGAAGAACUCCGAUUGCGAAGGCAGCUCACUGGACUGCAACUGACACUGAGGCUCGAAAGUGUGGGUAUCAAACAGGAUUAGAUACCCUUGUAGUC